AUACGUAGGGUGCGAGCGUUGUCCGGAAUUACUGGGCGUAAAGAGCUCGUAGGUGGUUUGUCGCGUCGUUCGUGAAAUCUCACGGCUCAACUGUGAGCGUGCGGGCGAUACGGGCAGACUGGAGUACUGCAGGGGAGACUGGAAUUCCUGGUGUAGCGGUGGAAUGCGCAGAUAUCAGGAAGAACACCGGUGGCGAAGGCGGGUCUCUGGGCAGUAACUGACGCUGAGGAGCGAAAGCGUGGGGAGCGAACAGGAUUAGAAACCCCAGUAGUCC
rnacentral:rRNA from 1 species